rnacentral:tRNA from 1 species
UGGGGUGUAGCCAAGCGGUAAGGCACGAGACUUUGACUCUCGCACCCGUAGGUUCAAAUCCUGCCACCCCAGCCA